UGCGGGGUAGAGCAGUUGGUAGCUCGCUUGGUUCAUACCCAAGAGGUCGCAGGUUCGAGUCCUGCCCACCGCAA
rnacentral:tRNA from 1 species